rnacentral:rRNA from 1 species
UACGUAGGGUGCGAGCGUUGUCCGGAAUUAUUGGGCGUAAAGGGCUCGUAGGCGGUCUGUUGCGUCGGGAGUGAAAACUUACAGCUUAACUGUGAGCGUGCUUCCGAUACGGGCAGACUUGAGGUAUUCAGGGGAGAACGGAAUUCCUGGUGUAGCGGUGAAAUGCGCAGGUAUCAGGAGGAACACCGGUGGCGAAGGCGGUUCUCUGGGAAUAUCCUGACGCUGAGGAGCGAAAGUGUGGGGAGCGAACAGG